AUACAUGCUGUGAUGGAAUAAAGAUGCAUUUGAUUGCCAAAGAGAGCUGGUGGCAGGUGGAAAUCAGCGCAUGACAUGCAUGUAUAACUCGUUCCGGAGCUUCAUUGCCGAAAUCUAAGUAGGCAAUGACGUUGACUUCACGUUACAGUCAGGGUAUAUGGGGAAUAUACCCACUGAGGGCAUACAUAAAAGUAUGUUGAAACAGGGUGGUACCACGUUGGACAAUCCCUUCGUCCCUGCG
rnacentral:ncRNA from 1 species